rnacentral:lncRNA from 1 species
GAGCGAAUGCAAGAUUUCUUCUUUUCCUCUACGCCACAUCAGCUCGAAUUCCCUGCAGGGGUCUGUAACUGCGGAACUCGACUUCACAGAGCUAUCCUGCCGCAUCAGCCGCGAAGGUGCCUCAAGCCCCGCUGCAGGACAGAGCCAGCAGCACUGUGCCACAGCGGUGCGGAAAUUUCAGCCCAGACCCCAGCCUGGCAGGCAAGCUCAGGAAUGCAAACCAAAUGCUGCUGUGGUGUUUCUUCCUUGUUUUCAGAGAAUUUCAUGCCUCAGUUUCAUCUCAGCUGAUGACAGCCAAGUGCCUUCAUUACACUUCAUUCCUUCCUAGCAAAUGUGGAGAAGCCGCGGUGGGUUGGAGAUGUCCCUUCCAGGCAGGCGUGGCCGGCGCGGUGACGGGAGGAAGGUCCCUGCAGAGGGUGCUCCAGCCCCAGCUACCUUCCUCUGCUUGGCACGGAGUCAGCGGUUUUACUUCAUUUUUCCCACUGAGAAAAAAUCUCCUAAUAAUUCACCUGUACGUUGCUCAAGAAGGAGCCUGCAAGCAGUGCUUGCUGCAGUACCAGACAAGGGGGAGCCUGCUGCCUGGCUUCUCUGAAGCAGCUGAAUUUCUGGGGCCACAGCCUCACUUUUUCAGAAAAGAUAGCCUCACAUGCCAGGUCAGAGAGGCUGCCUCUGUUCACUGCUGA